rnacentral:rRNA from 1 species
UGACCUCGGAUCAGGGUAGGAAUCCCCC